CUUCCCUCUUUUUCCAAAUCGUACCACACCUCUCCAAGGUGACAAUUUCAAAAACACCCAAUCGCCCACAUUAUACACUCGAUCAGUAGUAUGUCGAUCCGCUAAACUCUUCUGUCGAUCCUGGGCUGCUUUCAGGUUUGACUUAAUUACCUAAACAUUUUGAGUAGUCUCAUCUACAAUCUCUGGGCCUUCUAACACCCUUUCACCAAC
rnacentral:lncRNA from 1 species